CAACAAUCCGGUCCAUGCAAAUACUUGUCACCUAGAAGUAUAUUUCUUAUGUCUCUGCAAAUCUUUCACAAUAUUACUCCUCUAUCGUCGCCGUCGACGUCGAAUUUCCCGUCUACGCAGUUUCUUUCUCGGUUCGUCCCGGCGACAAGUCAUGUUAGUAACUGCUCUAAUAAAUCACCAUCAGUUGGCUUAUCGGAAUUACAGUCCCAAUUCAAGCCCCCGACUGACGAUCUCCGUCCUAUUGAAACAAAACCUAGUAGCAGUAGCAGUUCAGAUGAUACACCUGAGAGUGAAGGAAUUUCUGGUAUUAAAGUGCCCAGACAAAGAUAUAUUGCCGCUUCCAAAUCGCAACUGUUAGGUGCCAUCACUUCUACCAUGUUUAAUUCACCGGAGGAAGCCGAUCAAUUUCGUCAUGUAUCAUUAUGCCUGGACCUGAUUCUCCAUGCUGAACACAAAGUCAUCUUAGAGGAAAUGCGAGUUGAUUAUGAUCGAUCGCAUGCCAAUGAUAGUUGUAAUAAAACUGCAGUUUUAUCUGGGCAAGAAAGAAAUUUCACGCCAAAUGGAAGUGGUUCCGACAUUAUGAUGAGUGAUGUUGAGAAGGUCAAAGACAUGGAUAAAUAUGACUGGGAUAUGGAACUGAAGAAUCUAUGGCGUUCAGGUUCUGAUCAAUUCUCAGGAUCUCCUUAUGUUUCUUUUCUCAAAUUUGUCAACAAAGACUCUCUUGAGGAGUCUAGAACUGCUGUUUCCAGUCGUUUUCAACAUGCUUUCCUUCAGCUGCUUUCCAAUGCGGGUUUUGAAGAAUUGUCUGCUAGAGAUCUGAGGCUGACAUCUGCUCUAAAUACUGAUUAUCUUCUUACUUUGCCUAUAUCUGUUGACUGGAAGAGGGCAUCUCAGUCCAGUGCCAUAUUAUUCAGACGUGGUUAUGCAACUGAGAGGCAGAAGGGCUUGCUAAUUGUUGAAAAACUAGAUUACUUGCAGUCAAAGUUUCUACAAAGAGUUUUCUUUCUGAUAGUCAAACCUCUGAAGAAAGUUAGUAUUUGGUUGACUGAGGUUUUGGAAAGAUCUAUCACUGAAGAUAAUGCUCAAAUUUGGGCCCAAAAAGUCAAGCUUUGGUUGAAGGAUUUUCCCAUUUUCCAGCAAACAUCUAGUGACAACCAACACAUAUCAAAUAAGCCAUUUGAAGUUGAUGCACUAUCAGAAGAUGACCUUCCCCUUCAGAAAGCUGCACAGAAUGCUGUAAUUCGUUAUGAAGAAAAUCUUUCAGCAGUUGGGCCUCGUGGUAGGCUUCUAAAAAAGCUGCUGAUGCUGAUUGGAGUUCUACCGUCAACACAUAAACAGCAAUUUGAACUUGAAAUAGAUGAUAAUGAAACUGAAUCUCAUUUAAGGCCAAUCUUUUUGUCGAGGAUAUCACUUAGCGAUAUAUGGGAACCCGCGUCACUGAAAUCAUGUGCAAAUGAUCUUUGGAGAAUGUUGAGAACUUCUAUUUCCAUUCUUCUCUCAAAAUCAACUCUCCAGGAGCCAGCUUACCAAGAGUUGAUUUUACUAUACAUCAAGGAAACUUGUGAGGGAGGUGAUGCUGAUAAAGAUGAGUUCCCUUCAUUGCAGCUGAAGAUCUACGAGAAAAUCCCCAUUCCAGAUCUACCAGUUGUUUUUCCGCACAAGAAGUUGUCUUUCCGCAUACUAGAUUCGGUACGCCUUGACAUUGCCUCAGUACUUGGACUACUGGCAUACUUCAUAAACUACAAAUUUGAAAACAUAUUUUCACUAUCCGCAAUACUUUUAGAUGUGAUUGCAGUCAGUGCUCUUGUGAUAUAUGUGAGCCGUGUGGUCUUGGGUUACAAGCAAACAUGGGAUAGAUAUCAACUUCUGGUCAACAGGACACUUAAUGAGAAAACAAUGGCAAGUGGCUUUGGUUCUGUUUACUUUCUCCUGGAUGCUUCCGAACAACAGCAGUACAAAGAAGCCAUACUAGCAUAUGCAGUCCUGCUGAAAGAAAACAGCCAGGGAAGUUAUGCUGGAAAUGUUGGAGCGAGAUGUGAGAAGUUUAUUUAUGAUGUGUUGGACGAAAAGGUUGAAAUGCCUGUAGACAAAGCUAUAAGUACAUUGGUGAGGCUGGGUAUUGUAAUAGAGGAGUCUUUAAACGGGCACACUGUGCUGCAGGCAGUCCCUUGCUUCAAGGCAUAUGAGAUUCUUAAACAACAUUGGAAUAGCUUGCUCGGCUAAGUUUUGCUACAUAGAAUACAAAGUUUCUUAGCUGUAGAUUUUUGGGAAAAUUUCACAAGCAAUCAAAACCUCGAAUACAUAACAUACAACAAAAAUAUCGUCUAUAAGAAAUUAUCAGGUAUGAUAGGUGCCACUGGUGCAUGACGGAGCAACGGAUUUAUAUAUAGUUAUAUAGUCCUACUGGAGCUUAACAAUGAAACAGUUAAUUCUUUUAGUAGAAGUUAUGUUGCUCCGACUUUUCAAGAAUGCUGUCAUAUUCGUGUUGCAUUUUUAAAAAGUGAACUAUUUUUUGAGGAUCCGA